rnacentral:lncRNA from 1 species
AAUCAGAGGAGCGCCUGGUCACUGAGCGCCGCUGGGUGGCUCGGGUUGCUGGCCAGCGCUGACCAAGUUUGGGAAGCCUAGGAUGGCAAAUCCCGAACGUCCAAAACUUUGUUGGGGUCCGUUGAGCCUGUGUCCCGGUGUCUUCCUGAAUCCCCUCUACCAUCACUACAUUCUGCCUUGCAGGCUUCAGGAGCAGGCACAGGGUUUUGGUGGGGGACUAGACAAAUACAGACGCGGAAUGAAAAUGCUCACUUUGCAAGUGAACGGUGGACACACGUACACACUGGGACCCAGGACAGGUGGUCCUGGGUGUUAAAACAUCUGAAGAGAGAGAUGGGGACGCUGGAAAGAAACCGGCUGUGGGAGCCAGGAGAAGGGCUGGGGAAAGAAGGAGAGGAGCAGCCUGAGGAAAGGCGAGUAAAGCAGCUGGCAAGGGCGGGAGGAAGAGGCUGCGCGCAGACCGAGCGGAGGAGAGGCUGGCAGGAGCGAGGAGAGCUGCAGGCGAGAGGGGGAGGCUGCUGGAAGGAAGCACCGGCGAACGCGGGCAGGGGAACUUCAGAGGAGGCUGCCAAAAAGGAAUGGAGCUGCAGCAGUGCGAGGCAGUGGACAAGGGGGGCAGCAACCACCAGCCCUUGGCAGCCAGCAGAGGGGAAGAUGAGCCCACGGGAAAGAAAAGCAGGCGAGGUUAAGAAUAAAGAGUGUUCCAGGUAUGACAGCUACCUCGGUGAGGUGGAAGAGAGAAUUAACAAAGCAGAUUUCAUGGCUAUCCAUAGGAGUAAAUUUAUACAGAUCCACAGAAGACUGGAUGAACAGCGUGAACAUUUUAGUAGCAGGAAACAUUGGGAGAUGUCAGAAAAAAAUGAUCUGUUUAAAGAGACAGAAGAAAAGGAGAUGGUUUAGUAGACACCUGUUAAUUUGUCUCCCUGGCAUUCAUUCAUCUUCCUCAUGUAAUAACUAAUUGUAGAGGAGUAGCCAAGACAUGCAAGAGGAAGAGUUCUUCUGAAGACACUGAGAACACUAUUGGAAAUGGCAUUCUGACUCUCUACUAUACACAGUGGAAAUAGAAAUUUGAGGAAGAUUAAAUAUUCUCUCCAGAAAAUUUCCUUCUGAUAAUAUGUUUUUUGUGUAAAAUCCAAUAUGCUGCUAUCAGCAUAACUUUUUAGCAAAACAUUGUCUUUAAUUCCAAUCUUGUUAACUUUCCUAUCCUCAGAAAGUAUAUUUCAUAUAUUAUUGUAUAAUAUUCUGUAUAUAUUUUAAAAGUAUUUUUUCUUUUGUGUUUUCAGUUUAUCCCUAUACAAAUUUAAAUAUGGGAAGAUUAUCAUGUUUUUAAAGAAACUGCAUGAAUAUAGCAUAGAUAUUUAUAUAAAAUUUACAUUAAAAUGUAGAAUGCUUUUUCUAUUUGUAGAUUUCAUUUUACAUUUGAUAAUGUUGAAGUCGUCAAUUUGGCCUGCUUUUUUAUAUAGGAAGAAGGCCUCAAUGAGAAUUCCAGAGAUCUCAAACUUAAGCAGAUAUAUUGAUUUUCAAGGUUUCACUCCACAGGAAGUAGACUUAAUCUCAAUGCCAAGAAAAAGCAAUUUAAAAAGUAGAAACAGGAAUUUUUUUAGCUUUCUAGAAAAUUUAAGACAACAGUAAAUAAUCUUUGAGUGCUUAAUGCAAGAAAAAAUCUGGUUUCUUGCUCUCUAAAACUUACUUCCAUCAUCUAUAAGACAGGGACAGCAAUAAUUUCUGCUAGUUAAGGAUGUUAUUAGGAUUAAGUGGGAUAGUGCAUUUAAAGUACUUAGACAAAGGCCUAGUGCAUGUUCAGUAUGUAAUAAAUGGUGGUAUUUUUAUUAUAAGUCAGGAGGCUUAUUUAUCUUCUCUUUUCUAGGUUAUAUAUUUUAAAGUAACAUUGCUUGCUUACAUACAAUAAAAGUCCCCAGUUUAAGUGUCCAGUAGAAUAAAUUUUGACAAAUAUAUCCUCUGUGUAACCACCACCACAGUAAAAGUAUGAAAACUUCUAUCACUUCAAAAAAUUAUUUCUGCUUUUUUCAGCCUCAGGCAACCAUUGAUCUUCUUUUAGAAAUAUAGGUUACUUUGGCUUUUUCUAGAAUUUCACAUAAAUGGAAUUCUACAAUGUGUACUUUUUUGUUGCCUUCUUUCAUUCAGCAUGUUUUAAAAUUUGACAACAAUUUGCAUAUCCUAAAGUUCUUCCUUUUUAUUGCUCAGCAAUAUUCCAUUAUUUUUAAUAUAUCAUAGUUCCUCAUCCAUUAAUUCACUUAUGGACAUAUGGGCUGCUUUUCAUUUUUGGUUAUGGUAAAUAAAGUUGUUAUGAACAUUUUCACACAAAUAAUUUUUAUGUAAAUAUAUUUUAAUCUGUCUCUUGUAACUAUCUAAAAGUAGACUUUCUAUGUCAUAUGGUAAUUGUUUAGCUUUAUAGGAAAUAACCAGUGUUCCGAGUCACUGCACAAUUUUUCAUCCGUAUCCACAAUGGAUGAGAAUUCAAAUUGCUCUACAUCUUUACCGACACUUAAUAUUGCUGGUAUGAUUUUUUAUUGGCAUUCUAGUGGUUAUGUAAUAGCAUCUCAUUACAAUUUAUUAAAAUUAUAUAAAAGCUUUCUUGGUUAUUGAGUAUCUGUUCCUGUGCUUACUGAUAAUUUUUAUACUUUGUAUGUAAAAUAUUUGUUCAAAUCUGUUACCUACAUUUGUUGGACUGUCCUUUUAUUGUUGAAUUAUAAGAAUUCAUUAUUUAUUCUGCAUACCAGUUUUUUUCAGAUGUAUGUAUAUUUUCUCCCAAUCUGGACUAGGCAUUUUUAUUUUGGGGGGAAUCUCUUUUGAAAAGAAGAAAUUUAUUGUAUUAGACUUUUUUCAUGCUGCUAAUAAAGACAUACCUGAGAGUGGGUAGAAAAAAACGAUUUAAUGGACUCCGCGUGGCUAGGGAGGCCUCACAGUCAUGGUGGGAGGUGAAAGGCACAUAUCGCAUGGCAGCAGACAAGAGAAGAGAGCUUGGGCAGGGAAACUCCCCCUUAAAUAAUCAUCAGAUCUGUGAGAAUUAUUCACUAUCUUGAGAAUAGCACAGGAAAGACCUGACCCCAUGAUUCAAUUACCUCCCACUGGGUUCCUCCCACAACACAUGGGAAUUCAAGAUGACAUUUGGGUGGGAAUACAGCCAAACCAUAUCAUUUAUGUUUUGGUAAUCCCAAAAUUAUUUAUUUAUUUUUUUACAGUUCAUGAUUUGGGACAUUCUUAUCUAAAAAUUACCAACAACAAAAUCACAGAGAUUGUAGAUUUUUUUUCCCUUUACGCUCUUUUAAGAAGUGAAAUACUUUGAACAUCAUCUCUGCUUGAUUGAUUUCUAUGCCUAUUCUUAUACCGACAUAAUAUAAUAAGGCUAUUUAUUAGAAUAGCCUUAUUACAGUUCUCCAGCCUAGGCAAUAAUGGUGAGACUCCAUCUUCACAAAAUAUUUAUUAGAAUAGCCUUAUUAAAGUUUUCCAGCCUGGGCAAUAUGGUGAGACUGCAUCUUUACAAAAAAUAGAAAAAACUAUCUGGGUUCAUGCCUGCAGUCUCAGCACUUGGGAGCCUGAAGUGGGAAGAGUGCUUGAACCCAGGAGGUUGAGGCUGCAGUUAGCAGAGAUCACUCCACUGCAUAUCAGCCUGGGUGACAAAGCAAGACCCUGUCUCAAAAAGAAAACAAAAAAAGUCUUGAAAUAAAGUCUUUAAAUGUGUCUUUUAUUUUCAAAAUUGUUUUGGCUAUUAAAGAUUCUUUUCAUUUCAUUCUUAAAAUUUAUGAUUGACUCAUAUUUUUUAGUUAUACAUAUUUUUAGUUAUAAUGUGUGUUUUUACAUGUACACAUUACACAAUGACCAAAUCUGGGUAAUUAACAUAUCCAUCACCUUAAACAUCAUUUCCUUGUAACGAGAACAUUAAAGAACUUGUUCCAGUUAUUUUGAAAUAUACAAUACACUAUUGUUGAGUCAUCAUAAUAUACAAUAGGACAAUUGAAAUUUUUCUAACUGUAACUUUGUAUCGAUUGACCAAUCUCUCCCCAUUCCCGCCUCAUCUUUAUUCUCCCAAUCUUCUAGUAACCACUAUUCUACUGUCUAUUUCUAAGAGAACAAAUUUUGUAUUCUACAUAUAAACAUGUGAAGUGAGAUAAUGAGGUAUUUGUCACUUUAAAAUCAAUAUGACAAUUUUUACUCAAACCAAACCAAAACAAAGAAAACCCCUGGAGAUUGUGGCUGGUAUUGUAUUGAUUCUUUAGAUAAAUUUUAGGAUAAUAUAAAAAUAUUGUAUUUUCCAUUUAUCAGCUUGGUAUAUCUCACCAUCUGUUCACCUCUUUUGCAAUUUCUCACAGCAGAAUAUCAUAUGUUUCAAUUGUACAUGUCUUGUAUAUAUUUUGCUAAAUUCAUUACUAUUUGUUUUAGUGCUAUUGUAAAUGCAUUUUAAAAUUUUUGUUUUAUGUAUUAUUUGCCAGUAUAUAGAAUUAUAAUUGCAUUGACCUUGUACUUUGCAACCUUACUAAAUUCAUAAUCGUGUGUCUGUUUAAUGAAUCCUUGUAAUUCUCUCCAUAAGAAAUCAUACCCUCUGCAAGUAAAUUUUUCUUUUUCUUUUCUACUAUCUAUCACUUUUCUUUCCUCCUUGCUUUAUUUCACUAACAUAAAAUCCAGUCAACUAUUGACUAACAGUUGUAAAUGCAAACUUCUUUGCCUUUUUACUAAUUUUAGGAGGAAUACAUUCAGUGUUUCUUCUUCAGUAUGAUUUUAACUGUAAGGUUUUCAUGGAUACUCUUUACAAGAUUGAAGUGACCUCCUUAUAUUACUCUUUUUCUGGUUGUUUCAACAUGAAUAUGUAUAUAAUUUUGUUAAAUGCUUUUCUAGCAUCUAUUUAAAUGACUGUAUUUUUUCUAUAUUACUAUAUUAGUAUAAUAAAGGUAUAAACAUGCUUUGGAUAGAAUCAAAAUAGAAAUGGGCACUACUGAAAGACAUUUGUAUUCAG